ACCUAGCGGCGAACGGGUGAGUAACACGUGAGGAACCUGCCCCGAAGUUCGGGAUAACCCGAGGAAACUCGAGCUAAUACCGGAUACCUUCUUCUGAUCGCAUGGUCGGAUGAAGAAAGAAUUUCGCUUCGGGAGGGCCUCGCGGCCUAUCAGUUAGUUGGUGGGGUAACGGCCUACCAAGACAACGACGGGUAGCUGGUCUGAGAGGACGAUCAGUCACACUGGGACUGAGACACGGCCCAG
rnacentral:rRNA from 1 species